rnacentral:misc_RNA from 1 species
UAUCCGUUGGUGAACCAGCGGAGGGAUCAUUAUCGAGUUUAUAACUCCCAAACCCUAUGUGAACUUACCACUUGUUGCUUCGGCGCGCGCUUCGGCGCCGCCGAGGACACUUAAACUCUUUGUUUUUAUAAGCAUUUCUGAGUGGCCGAAAGGCAAAAUACAAAUGAAUCAAAACUUUCAACAACGGAUCUCUUGGUUCUG